UCCUACGGGAGGCAGCAGUGGGGAAUAUUGGACAAUGGGGGGAACCCUGAUCCAGCCAUGCCGCGUGUGUGAAGAAGGCCUUUUGGUUGUAAAGCACUUUAAGCGAGGAGGAGGCUACUUAGAUUAAUACUCUGAGAUAGUGGACGUUACUCGCAGAAUAAGCACCGGCUAACUCUGUGCCAGCAGCCGCGGUAAUACAGAGGGUGCAAGCGUUAAUCGGAUUUACUGGGCGUAAAGCGUGCGUAGGUGGCCAAUUAAGUCAAAUGUGAAAUCCCCGAGCUUAACUUGGGAAUUGCAUUCGAUACUGGUUGGCUAGAGUAUGGGAGAGGAUGGUAGAAUUCCAGGUGUGGCGGUGAAAUGCGUAGAGAUCUGGAGGAAUACCGAUGGCGAAGGCAGCCAUCUGGCCUAAUACUGACACUGAGGCACGAAAGCAUGGGGAGCAAACAGGAUUAGAUACCCUGGUAGUCC
rnacentral:rRNA from 1 species